ACCGGCGCACGGGUGCGUAACGCGUAUGCAACCUACCUUAUACAGGAGAAUAGCCCAUGGAAACGUGGAUUAAUGCUCCAUAGUUUGUUUGAACCUCCUGGUUUAAACAAUAAAGCUCCGGCGGUAUAAGAUGGGCAUGCGUGACAUUAGUUUGUUGGUGAGGUAACGGCUCACCAAGACUACGAUGUCUAGGGGUCCUGAGAGGGUUAUCCCCCACACUGGUACUGAGACACGGACCAGACUCC
rnacentral:rRNA from 1 species